AGCAGGCUGAACCCUAAACAUUUGUCAGAAUUCGCUUUCAAGGAAGGAUUUGCCCUUCUCGCCUCCUUCCUCCCCGCUGGCCAUGGCCGCCCUCCGCCGCUGCCCAGGCCUCAGAGACACCCCAUCCUCGCUAGCGUCUUUAUCCUCCUCUCUUCGUUUCGCCUCCCCGCCCCGCGCCGACGAGCUCUUCGCCGGCUGAUCCUUCUCCGCCCCACAUCAAGGUCUAGGAACCGGUGACCGCAUCCACGGGGGAAAGGAGAUGCGAAAGAUUGAUUCGACUGUCACAUGGAUUUUGUUCAGCUCGAUCGGUAAAUUUUAGUUGGCUUCUGCUCCAGGGUUUGGGAUCGUAACCAACAAAUGUUGAGCAAUUUUCAUUCCUGUGCGUUAGGUAAAUGGUUGGGCAUGCUGGUUCGAGUUUCUGGUCAGUUUUCGUUUGAGAAUCAAACCUCUAAUGGGUUUUUGCGUGCUGCUUAGCUCAGACUUGCUUACAAUUUUGGUCAAAUAUGCCUUUAUCUCUAAUAAAAAAAUAUGGUUUUAUACAAUGGUUGUCUUACUGACAGGCAGAGUAUAAUAACAUUAGACCUGAAUUUGAGGGGCCGUCAUUUUCUUGUUAUGUUGUGAGGGGCAGAAAAAGAAAGAAAGAAAGAAAAUGCUGCAACAUCAGCAUUAUUUUUCAUUCUAGUAUUCUCUUCCAUUUACUUCUAGUAUUCUCUUCCAUUUUCUUCUAGUAUUCUCUUCAAUUUUCUAAUCCUCUUGUCUUUUAUGAUAUUCUCAUAUUCAUGAUAUAUAUCUGUAGAAACUUAAGUGCAUUCGUGGCAAAUCUGGCCAAUUCCUUAGUUUUUGCAAUUUUUCCUAAUCCGUAUUUCUUCCAGGAACUGGCAGUUGCAUUUUCCAGUGAUGAAAAAUAGGUCUGCAUUCACACAUGAACCAUGUUGGUACUUGCUAUUACUAGCUAGGUAGCUAGAACUUAUAAGUGCUCUGAAAGCUGAUACUAUAUAAUUAAUCUAGAUAUCCUGAAAAUAUGGCACGGGACUGAACUAGCAUGCCACCUUUGGGUCUUGGACCUAAACUUCCAGUUGUAAAAUUGAUGUAUAUCAGUAUAUAUCUUGCAAAUAGCAUCCAAAGAAUAAGGAAUGUACAAAAGCCUUCGAGGUAUCUCAUAAAAUUGCCAAAAACCAUACAACAAACUAAUGGACCGAUUACAAGGUAGAAUUUUUGUUCUAACUUUACAUAUGCACACCACCUAUAAUUACACUGGACUAUCUUCUUGUUUGUGCCUUGAAGACAUAUAAAACCUACUAAUUCUUUCAAGAAAUCAAGCUGUCACUCUUUCCGCCUGCUGGAUUUCCGAGAGUAGCAUUGCCAACAGAGGGAGCAAUUUUUAGUUGCUUCAUACCAGAUGGUACGAAUUUAGUCAGAUUUAAGUGCUAAUUUAUGAUACUCUCCAAGAGCCCAUAUAGGAAAUAUAUUGCGAUAAGCCAUAUAACACAAGGGGCCAUUUUUCAAGAAACUGCCAAUCAUUUCCUACAUAAUAGUAUAAACUUAAAUUAUUAUAGCAUAAAAGAGUAAAAAUUUAAGACUUCAAAUUAAAUUUUAUAACACAUGAUGUAGCACUUACCUCCUGUGGAAAGUCGCCGUUGCCUAGUUGCAUGUUAAUUAUAAGUCUUGCUGCUUUGUGCAAAGGAGAUGGAUCUCUUUCCACCUGAACUUAGAAGAAAAGUUGGUAUUUAAUUCAGUAGUUCAAAAGCGGAUUGAAGUAGAACCUGAACCUUGAAGUUAUAUUAUAGAUUUUUUUUAAUUAUUUUGGGGCCCAAGGUAUAUUGGUCUGCCUGCGAUUAACACCAUAGAAGCUCUUUGCAAUUUGACCAUGUGAAAUAUUUGGAGAGAAAGAGAAGUAAACACCUGUCCAGCUUUCAUAAGAGCCAACAUUGCCCAUGCAGUGUUGACUAUAUGUGAUUUCUCCCCAUCUAGGUUUGUGUAUGCCUGUUUAGAAUUCCACAUGACAUGUGUGAUCAGCCUUGUGAAUUCAAGAUGCGCAAGCCAAGAUAGAAUCUAUGAAACCAAUAUGCAGCACAAAUAAAAUGUUGUAAUAUCCUCGAGGUGAAAGAUGCACAAGCCAUAUGUACAUAAGGCCUGUGUCUAGGCAAUGCUCAUUUUUUUCCUCUCUAUUGCAGUUAAAAAUUGUCUUCUUGCGUUGCAACUGGAUGCCUUUGGUUCCAGUUUUAUAUCUUUCGUUUGAAUUUGUUUCUAAUCAUAUGGUUCUAAACUUCUAAUUUCAAUUUUGCUACUUCCUACUCCUAGUGGAGUUAAUAUCGUUACCAGUUCUUAGAAAAUGUAAAAUCUUUUUGCCAUUAAUUUGGUUCUGGAUGCUUUCAUUGUUUGGAUGCAUGUUUUUUCUAAGAUGUGGGCAACUGCUGUUCAUCAACAUAACACAACAUUCCAGAACGUUUACCUUGGUUCUGGAUGAGAGAUGACUCUCGCCCCAUCCACCAUUUCUCAGCUGCUUUGAUAAUAGAAACUUACAAGCCUUCCGCAUGCAGGUGCUAUUAUUGUAACACUGUCCAACUGCUGAUAGGCCCUCUAUAGCAAACCAUGUGCCAUAUGUGAAGCAAAUACCCCAUGAUCCAAACCUACAAAUCAAUUUAUUGAUUGUUGAAUGUCAAUUAAGUUGCAACUACAAUUCAGUAUGUGCUAUUUGUCUAUUUAAUCAUAAUUUUAGUCUAUAAAAAAUUGCAUAUAUAAAAAACUGCAUACUUUGAUGGUGUGAUUAGAUACUGAUGCUUUUUAAUGCUUCUUGCUAGGAUAGGGUAGCAUUAUCUCAUUCUCAUUGUUUUCUCACCUCUGCAUUUUGACGUUGAUGACUUAGUUCUUGCCUUACCAAAAUAUCUUGUCAUUCUAUUGCAGAUAGAUUAAAUUAGCACUUCUACUUUCUCGGUGAUGUCUUAGUAAUACUGACCAUGAGCCAUCAUCAUUCUGUAACUUCUCAAUGAAUUCUGUCGCUCUCGUGAUGCAUUGUUCUACUUCAUCUCUCCGAUGCCCAGGGUAUUUUUCCCGAAACAGUACCAAUGCUUGAAUGACUGACGAAGUACACUCAACGUACCUGUGGUGUGUAUGCAUGUUAACAUUGAGUCACAGCAAGAGCUAGUCCUAAGGAAGGUUGCCGAAUUCUUACUGAUGUUCCACCAUGAUGUCUGCAUAUAUCUCUGUCAUGUUGAAAAUCUGAAAAGAGGAAAAUGGUUUGAAGUCUCAUUACCCGGUGGUCUAAAUGUGUACAGUUAGUUACUGGUAUGCUCUGUGAUAGUUAUGCCAGGCAAACAAUUUUAAUGCUACCAUCUUAGUGGGUGGAGGGAGGUGGAGGUGAGAAGAGAUUGCAGAAGCAUUGAUUCAUGGUGUAAUUAAUUGCAUUGGAAUACAAAGAGAAAGGCUAACGCCGAUGCAGAUAUACUGGGAAUUCUCAUCUUCAUAUUUCAAGAACUCAGCAAUUUGUUGUAGAGCUUUUCUUCUCAUGUACGAAACUGGCCAACGUGCCAGAAAAGGUUCACCAAAGCUGUAAAGGCAGUCGGAUAGGCAUUCCUGCAGCCAGCAUCAACUGCUUCCCGCUCUUCACGUGAUCCAUUGUUUUGGUCAAACUCCCAUGUUUCUCUUCCAAUGUGAUUGUUUCCACUCUUGAGCCAUGGUCCGCCCUCGGCGAUCUUGAGUUUCCACAUAUUUUACAGCAUAAGCAGAAGAUUCUUGUACCACUAUUAAGUCUUACCUGGCAAAAAGAUGGCAGAGCACAGUAAUAUUACUCCCUUUGAUGUUUGGCUGGCGUCUAUACUUUCUGAUCACUCCAGUACUCUAGAACAUUUAUCAGCUCUCUUCUCAUAUCGGAAACAGGUGCCACCAUCGAUCGAUCAACCGAAGAAGGAAAUCAGCAGAAGAUUAUGCUCAUUGAAUGAACUGCAGUUUCAAGACCACACGAUGUUUAAAAGGUACGAGAAUGUUGUGCAUGCGGUCAGACGAGCAGCAUGGAUGGAGAACGUCCUGUAUUUAUUCCCUGGCUGGCUGAUCACACGGAACUGAUGUGUGCUUUGCACGCUCGAGCACGGAGCCUCUGUGCAACUGCAAGCCGUGCCUAAUGGAGCUUGCUUGGAAGCUGAAAACCAGGGGAAAUGGAUUAUGUAUGCACCUGGUCAUGCGAUUCUUGGCGGCCACAUUGCAAUACCGUGUGGGUGUGGUGCAUCACCAGUGUGUAUGCAAAGAUAUCAUCUGCUCAUUCAUUUGCUCCAGUAGUUGUAAAGACUGAAGAAAGGAGUGCGAAUUUGGUAGGGCACUCUGAAAUCGGUAAUUUUCGCUGCUGACUUGAAGCUGUGGACGAAACAUCGUGCGGUUCAUCUUGGUAGAUGUAGAGAUCAUGUAUUGCUUCUGACAAUAUUUAGUCAACUAAUCUAUCGACUUUGUAGAUUCCUGUACUCAUAUAACCACAAAAGAAGCAUGUCUUCACGAAUCAAAUACAAGGAGCCAAACUAAUUGCAUCCA